UCCUGGUCUAAAAUAAUAUAUAUGGUAACACUAUGCAAAUGAACUAUAUCACGCACAUAGAUAUGAGUUAACCUCUCUGUGCUGAUGGACAUCUGAAUAAGAAUAAAAUAUGCUGACUUGGUCUACAAUGACCCAAAUACCAUCAAAACCACAAGAACUAUGAGGCAAAACACUAACAAAAUCAAAGGUAAUCCGCUCCCAUUUCCACUCAAGAAUGGGUAAUAUCUAAAUCAAACCACCUAGUCAAUGAUACUCGACCUUCAUCUACUGACAACAAAGGCAUUGAGCUAUAAAGUCUACCACAUCAUUCU
rnacentral:lncRNA from 1 species